CUACGUGCCAGCAGCCGCGGUAAUACGUAGGGAGCGAGCGUUAUCCGGAUUUAUUGGGUGUAAAGGGUGCGUAGACGGAAAUGCAAGUUAGUUGUGAAAUACCUCGGCUUAACUGAGGAACUGCAACUAAAACUAUAUUUCUUGAGUAUCGGAGGGGUUUGUGGAAUUCCUAGUGUAGCGGUGAAAUGCGUAGAUAUUAGGAAGAACACCGGUGGCGAAGGCGACAAACUGGACGAUAACUGACGUUGAGGCACGAAAGUGUGGGGAGCAAACAGGAUUAGAUACCCUGGUAGUCCACACCGUAAACGAUGGAUACUAGGUGUUGGCAAUGAAUAAUUGUCGGUGCCGGCGCUAACGCAAUAAGUAUCCCACCUGGGGAGUACGACCGCAAGGUUGAAACUCAAAGGAAUUGACGGGGGCCCGCACAAGCAGUGGAGUAUGUGGUUUAAUUCGAAGAUACGCGAAGAACCUUACCAAGGCU
rnacentral:rRNA from 1 species